rnacentral:rRNA from 1 species
GACGUAGGGGGCAAGCGUUGUCCGGAAUUACUGGGCGUAAAGAGCUCGUAGGUGGGGCUAUAAGUCGACGAGUAAAUGCCUCGGCUCAACUGGGGUCUCAUCGUUGAUACUGUAGCUCUUGAGGACAGGAGAGGAAAGCGGAAUUCCCGGUGUAGCGGUGAAAUGCGUAGAGAUCGGGAGGAACACCAGUGGCGAAGGCGGCUUUCUGGCCUGAUUCUGACACUGAGGAGCGAAAGCCAGGGGAG